UACGGGGGGAGCAAGCGUUGUCCGGAUUUACUGGGCGUAAAGGGCGCGUAGGCGGCACCGCAAGUCGAUUGUGAAAUCUCCGGGCUUAACCCGGAAAGGUCAACCGAUACGGCGGGGCUAGAGUGCAGAAGGGGCAACUGGAAUUCUCGGUGUAGCGGUGAAAUGCGUAGAUAUCGAGAGGAACACCUGCGGCGAAGGCGGGUUGCUGGGCUGACACUGACGCUGAAGUGCGAAAGCUAGGGGAGCGAACGGG
rnacentral:rRNA from 1 species